rnacentral:rRNA from 1 species
CCUACGGGAGGCUGCAGUGGGGAAUAUUGGACAAUGGGGGGAACCCUGAUCCAGCCAUGCCGCGUGUGUGAAGAAGGCCCUCGGGUUGUAAAGCACUUUCAGUGAGGAAGAACGCCUGGUGGUUAAUACCCAUCAGGAAAGACAUCACUCACAGAAGAAGCACCGGCUAACUCCGUGCCAGCAGCCGCGGUAAUACGGAGGGUGCGAGCGUUAAUCGGAAUUACUGGGCGUAAAGCGCGCGUAGGUGGCUUGAUAAGCCGGUUGUGAAAGCCCCGGGCUCAACCUGGGAACGGCAUCCGGAACUGUCAAGCUAGAGUGCAGGAGAGGAAGGCAGAAUUCCCGGUGUAGCGGUGAAAUGCGUAGAGAUCGGGAGGAAUACCAGUUGCGAAGGCGGCCUUCUGGACUGACACUGACACUGAGGUGCGAAAGCGUGGGUAGCAAACAGGAUUAGAUACCCUGGUAGUC